rnacentral:rRNA from 1 species
GUGUCAGCAGCCGCGGUAAUACGUAGGGAGCAAGCGUUGUCCGGAAUCAUUGGGCGUAAAGCGCGCGUAGGCGGCCCUGUAAGUCCGUUGUGAAAGUCAAAGGCUCAACCUUUGAAAGCCGAUGGAUACUGCAGGGCUAGAGUCCGGAAGAGGCGAGUGGAAUUCCUGGUGUAGCGGUGGAAUGCGCAGAUAUCAGGAGGAACACCAAUAGCGAAGGCAGCUCGCUGGGACGGUACUGACGCUAAGGCGCGAAAGCGUGGGGAGCGAACAGGAUUAGAUACCCUGGUAGUCC